rnacentral:rRNA from 1 species
GACGAACGCUGGCGGCGUGCUUAACACAUGCAAGUCGAACGGAAAGGCCCUGCUUUUGUGGGGUGCUCGAGUGGCGAACGGGUGAGUAACACGUGAGUAACCUGCCCUUGACUUUGGGAUAACUUCAGGAAACUGGGGCUAAUACCGGAUAGGAGCUCCUGCUGCAUGGUGGGGGUUGGAAAGUUUCGGCGGUUGGGGAUGGACUCGCGGCUUAUCAGCUUGUUGGUGGGGUAGUGGCUUACCAAGGCUUUGACGGGUAGCCGGCCUGAGAGGGUGACCUGCCACAAUGGGAAUGAGAUAGGGCCCAGACUCCUACGGGAGGGAGCAGUGGGGGAUAUUGCACAAUGGGGGGAAGGCUGAUGCAGCAACGCCGCGUGCGGGAUGACGGCCUUCGGGGUGUAAACCGCUUUCGCCUGUGACGAAGCGUGAGUGACGGUAAUGGGUAAAGAAGCACCGGCUAACUACGUG